rnacentral:rRNA from 1 species
AUGUGCUUGCGGGAUAAGGAUCUAUGGCUUAUGCGGUGCCCACUGAUAUGCAACUGGGCGGUUGAGUUUCAUUUGCCGCAUCGCGUGUAUCGUCAGUUUGGUCUGUUCCAGCCUCACCCGCCAUAUUGGGUGGACACGGACAAAGCACUUCAUAGGUUGGACAGGAGAAGGCAGCAGAAGAUAAAGGACUGGGACAAGCAUCAUGCUUCGUAUGUUACCCGCUUCCAGCUUUCUGUGGAGCAAGCUCGUAGCACUGCACGUGCUCCGCUUCGUGAGCACAACCCACUUGCUUUUGAUAACUACGUACGAUGGUUUAUUGGAACUACUCAAGUUGAGAUAUGCCCGCUGGCAUAUAAUGAGGAUAUUCUUGAAGAACCCGUAAACUUUGAGGAUCUAGCAAAGGGGAAGUACAACAGAGAUGUCAGGCAAGGGCAAGGAGUCCCUGCUAUUCCGGUGAUUAACUAUGUGCGCACCGAGAUCAAGAAAGCAGCUGAUGAGAGCCAGUCUAUUCUGGAGAAGACACCAGUUGGAAAUGGCAAUGAUGAUGGUUCACUACGAGCAUUCCUCAAGCGUUAG